UGUAUUUAUAGACUUUUUUUGCCUAUAUAAACAUAUAUAAACAUUUUUAACAUUAAAAGUAAGUAAUACUAUUAAUAUUACUUCAUGACUUGCUUUUUUUCUAUUGGACAGAUGUUAGGUAUCUUUUUCCAUGUAAGUACUAUAAAUGAAAACCGAUUGAAGCCUCUUUAGUGGCUGUAUUGUAUUUAAUUGAAUGGAAAUACCUAAUUAAUGUAACUAGUCUCCUAUUGAGGCAUAUUUACGUGUCAAUUUUAGAUAUAAUAAAUAGCAUUGCAACAUUUACACCAGUGCACGUUUGAGGAUGUGUGCCGCCACUACCUAAAAUGGAAAUUACAAGAUCAAAGGAUGUGAAUAUUUUGGAUGAUCUACACUUGAAGUUCUUAAAACUAGGUGGAAUAAAUUGCCUUGUGACUGUCAGACUAUAAAGUCAGUACACUAUGGAUUAAAGCAGAAAUUCAUGAAGCCAUCCUCAAAAGAGUUGGAAUAGAUCUUAAUAUGAUUAAAGACACAAACGUAUCACACUGAGCGAUAUGUCACUCAGAAAAGGGUUCGUCAACAAUGGAAGCAUGAAAAACAGAGAGUAAGAGAAGCAAACACAGCAUGACCUUGUCCAAGGAAGAGAAAAAUGUGGCUCUCAACCAUGUGAUUAAACUGGUCUUUUUUAUUAUUAUUAUUAUUAUUAUUAUUAUUUUACAGUGGAGAAGGAAGCAUCAAACUUUUAUAGCUUGACGACACUUCAACUGACUCUUCCCACACACUAAGCUACCUUCUGAAGAUUAUUCCUCUUACUCUCUGUUUUCCAUGCUUCCAUUGCUGAUCAACCAUUUUCUGAGUGAUAUAUCGCUCAGUGUGGUAUGUUUGUAUGUUUAAUCAUAUUAAGACCUAUUCUGACUCUUUUGAGGAUGGCUUCAUGUAUAUCUGCUUUAACCCAUAGUGUACUGAUUUUAUAGUCCGACACUCAUAAGGCAAUUUAUUCCACCUAGUGUAAGUACAGUUCUAUGGUAAGGAACAGUUAGAAGUGAACUAUGUAGGGCUCCAUGUAUACACAGGUAUAUAGCUCCUAAAUGUAAUGUUGAGUGGAAAAGUUGCUAAAGGGUACACACACUAUGAUACUUUAUAUAUAAUGCCUGAAAACCUGCAAUAUCAUUGAUCACUCAGGGAUAUUUAUGUAUUUUAUCAAAGCAUGAAGACAUACCUGAAAAUGAUAAACAUAAAAUUCAGGAUGAUGGUUUUCAUUGGCAGUGGAUCAAAGAGGGAAGUGUAAUCACAGAAAGGUUACACAAGAGGCUUUAUAAAGUUUUACAUGUUUAGACUUGAUGGUAGAUACAUGGAUGUUCCUCGUAUUACUCUCUGGGCCUUUUUGCUCUUUUGAAUGUUUUCAUAAAGAAAGAAUAAACAAUAAGAAGGUUUAGUCUGGCAGGAGCAUAGGAUGUGAGGCGGCCAUUGGAAGAGGUAUGGUAGAGCGGGGCAGGGUCAGCUCAGAAGGACCGUGCAGUAGCUUUGCACCUGAAGAUCCCGAGAGGCCCCUGAGGAGGUUUAGCGGUGGUGUGGAGACUGUCUUGGAGGCGGGGUGACGAGUCAGAUGGAUGCUGCACGACUCAAGUGGGAGACAACAGUGAGUGGGCUACACUCGGAAUACAGAAGAAAGGACAGAGUGAAACUGUCAGCUCAUGUUGCCUCAGUGCUUCCUCCUUUCUUUCUCAGGCUCCUUUGCCAAGUGGCUUCUGGAGAACUUCCGCUAAUGGGAGGCACUGUGAGAGGAUGGAGCGGGGAACGAAGAAGCCUGGGUAUUCCUUCCUCUCCCCAUUUCUCUGCUUCCAGUGGCCUCUCCAACAGGGACUGUGCCUCCUUCACAUCCACCUCCCGUGAGACAGCUCCUCUGCCGGUGCAGCCAGUUCUCACCAGGGAGCCCUGGCUUCUGGGCACGGGUAAUAAGUUUGUCCCAUCAGCCUAGAGCAGGUGACAACUUCCAAUUGUUGCUGAUGCCUGGGUCACAUCAUUGACCCCUGCUCUGCAUCUCAGCUCUUCCAACACCCUGGUAGCUGGUUCUCUGUGUUAAAUCUCCCGUUGAUCUCUGUCUGGACCCUGACUGAGACAUACACUUUUUGGAUGCUUUAUAUUUUGUCUUCUGUGGGAAACAGAGGCAUGGUGGCUAAAUGAGCAGGGCUGUGGCCUCACAAGUACUAAGGCAGCUAGAGGCUACUAGAGGCACCUGAAGCUCUGACUGAGGUACUUUCUUCACAAAUGGUGGAAACUCCUGAGAAGACAUGGCUUCUUCCAUGGAUAUCAAUGACUGCCAUCAGGCCAGCCAGGCAGACUCAGUCAUCAAUUGGGCCCACCAUUAAAAUCAGCUUUCCUGUUUGAGGAGACGCUAAUUCUUCUUUGGAAGGACACAGCAGCAGUGGGGAAUCAGGUUCUGAAAUCUAGCCAUGCCACCAAUACCUGCAGAAACAUUCUGGAUGGAACAGGCUUGCCCAGACCCUCCUCUCCAGAAGCUGGGCCCUUUAUGUUCCAUCUCUGAGUGAGUGGCAGCAAGGACCAGUGCGAUCAAAAAGGAGAAAGUGGAAUGCGACAUCACCCCCAAGGAGAGGAAGACCAUGGGCCAAGAGCUUCAGGGUGACCCAGUCAUAGGCCCGGGAGAGACAGAUCUGCACUAGAUGCUGUGCAGAGCCCUGACACCCAGAGCAGAUGCUGCUGCUGCGAUGAGUCUGGGGAUCAGGUGUUCAGAACCGCUGCUCGAGUGGUCCACUGCCCAGUGGGAGGAAGUGCUCUG
rnacentral:lncRNA from 1 species